rnacentral:lncRNA from 1 species
UUUAUUGUUAUCAUUAUUUGUGAUAACAACAUAAGACCUGCACUCUUAGCAAAAUUUUGAGUACACGAUAUGGUAUUAUUAACUAUAGGCACUAUACUGUACUGUAGAUCUCUAAGGACUUAUUCAUCUUGUAACUGAACUUUGUGCCCUUUGAUUAAUACCUGUCUGUUUCUCCCUACUCCCAGUCCCUAGGAACCGCCGUUCUGCUCCAUUUCUAUGAGUUUGACUAUGUAAGUGAUAUCAUGUAGUAUUUGUCCUUUUGUGUCUAGCUUAUUUCUCUUAGCAUAAUGUCCUCCAGGCUCAUCCAUGUCCCAAUGGCAUGAUUUCCUUCUUUUUCUAAGGCUGAAUAAUAUUUCAUUUUAUGCAUAUACCACAUUUUCUUUAUUCAUCCAUCAAUGGCUAUUUAGAUAAUACAAGCAAGUGGGACUAUAUCAAACUAAAAAGUUUCUGCACAGAAAAGGAAACAAUCAACAAAAUGAAAAGGCAACCUAUGGAAUGGGUGAAAAUCUUUGCAAAUCUUUUUUUUUUUUUUUUAAGAUUUUAUUUAUUUAUUUGACAGAGAGAGAGACAGCCAGCAAGAGAGGGAACACAAGCAGGGGGAGUGGGAGAGGAAGAAGCAGGCUCCCAGCGGAGGAGCCUGAUGUGGGGCUCGAUCCCAUAACGCCGGAAUCACGCCCUGAGCUGAAGGCAGACGCUUAACCGCUGUGCCACCAAGGCGCCCCAAAAUCUUUGCAAAUCUGAUCUGAUAUGGGGUUCAUAUCCAAAACACAUAAGAAACUUCUAUAGCCUAAUAGCAAAAAACCAAAUCACCCCACUAAAAAGUGGGCAAAGAAUUGAAGAGAUAUUUUUCCAAAGAAGACAUCCAGAUGGCCAAUGAGAAGGUAUAUGAAAAGGUGCUCAACAUCACCAGUUAUCAGGGAAAUGCAAAUCAAGACCACAAUAAAAACAACUCAAGACUGUGAUGUCUGCGUGCCCACACGUGUUCUUCCUCUCGUGGAUCCACCAUACCACGGGAGCUGCGGGGAGACUCCACAGUGGCCAUUUGAGUUGGUGCUCUUGCUGCUCUGCCCUCUUGAGGCCUGGUUCUUCAUCAUUUCCUGGCUUAGGCUCCCUGGUUGGGCACAGAGAGGAAGUCACUGUCUUUGGAUUUUCAGGACACCUGGAGUUUCCUUAGACUCCCUUUAUGCCACCUCACCUCUGCCCACUGCUACCUAGACUUUCCCUCCCAGGUGUUGUCACUGGCUGAACUUAUAGUUUGGAAUAAAACUAAGCAAUUUUAUUAAUUGUCA